AGGAGCUCCCCCUCUCUAAAACACAGAGAAACGGCACUAGCUUCUUCUUCUUAACACCACUCUCACACGCACAUAUCACCUCUCUGAUCUCAUUCACACAAUUUACACAUUAGAAGCAUAGAAAAUCUGGAAUCAAAUCCAGAACUGAGAUUUGAAAGAACUCCAAAAUAUGAAACGAAAACAGAAAUAAAAAGGGGAUUUCAAGGCUAUUCUCAAUUUCUGAUCUUAGCUUCAUAAUUUCUACGAAUCUGAAGCAAUUGAAUCGCUGUCCGCUGCUUCUGAGUUGAGCUCGUUUGAUCACUGGUCUAUUGUUGUUCCCCUUGCUGGAUUUCACCUCCUAUUUCAGACAUUUGUUUGUUUUUAGUUUAUUUUCGGCCAUUUAGGUAUGUAUAUAUUUACCCGAAAUCCUCUUUUGAAUAUGAAUGAAUACUUGGAUUAUUGACCCUAUGAAUAUGUUUAGUUUUCCGUAUUUCUUGUGUUCAACCUCCAGAUUUGAAUGCUUGUUCUAUCUAUUGAUAAUUUUUCUUAAAAAAAAAAAACAAGUCAAAAUUGGUCAUUAAUUAGUUUGGCAUUCCUGUUGUUGUUUUGUUCUAAACUCAGCAUGUUGGUGCUAGAUAUCAUCAUGUUUGGCAUCAGUACUGUUAAUUAAGCACUUAGUGAAUUCACAAGAGUUUUGAAUAAGGUUAUUUGUUACUGAAAUAUUCAUUCCUUGAGGAUAAAGUGUGAAUGCAUCAUGAAACAUGAAUUUAAGUUACUAACUUUGAAUAAAAACUUGAAUAAGCAUUGAAUUAUUUUCAUGGUGAUUGGUUGUGCAAACCAGCAGCAUUUUGUCGGCACAUAUGUCGGCUUUGUGUUGUGAUGUCUGCGGUGUUAGCUAGCUGAAUAGAUUAGGCCAUCAUGUAGUUCAGAUUGUUGUAAAUAAUUUGUCCAUUAGAGUUGAUAGUGAAUCCAAGAUUAAUAGGCUGUGCUGUUUAUCAGAAGUUUUGCUCUUUGGUUUUAGACUGAUUGUGAGAUUGGGUUUAAGAGUAUUGAUUUGAACAAGGGGAUUUAGGUUUAAAUGAAUUUGUAUCGGCCGAAUUUUGAAGCUGGCCCAUCUUUCUUUUAUAGAUAAAAGAUGCCUAACAAUUUAUCCAAUAAUUUUAAUAACUAAGACUUAAUUAAUGCUACUAAUUUUAUUAAUUAAAAUUUACACUCUUGUCCACAAAAUUCCAUAACUUUGGACUUUCAGUAAUCCUAAACUUAGGAAAUGAGUAAUUCAUGAACACCACAGUUUGUUUUAGGCACGCAAUUAAACCAUCGUGAUUAUGAGUACGGUUCCCGUGGUAUAGUCGUGAUACUUAAUUCCCAAAUUCGGAGGUGCAUUUCAUGUAACCCGAUUAUAACAACUUCAAGUAAUAAAACCCUUUGAAUAAAUUGAGGCGUGCCAUGCCACACAAGAUUUAUAAUCCAUGGCCCUCAUAAGAUUAGAUUCAAGAACUAGCACUCAUAGAAAAAGGUUUGGGGUGUGCCAUAUACAAAUAAAAUCCUUUAAUCUAUGGCCCUCAUAUAAAUACAAAAUUUAGUUUAGAAAUGCCUUGACCUUUCGUAGUUCUCUAGGCGCGUGAAUUAAUUAAUUGUCAUAGCUACGGGUACGGUUCCCGUGACGUAGUUGUGACUCUUAAUUACUAAAAUUCGGGGGUACAUUUAUGUGACCCGACCACAGUUUAAUCUUUAAAAAUUAAACUUGUUGUAGAUCGUGGGUACGGUUCCCGUGACAUGAUUCGCAAUAUGUAACAAUAAUUAUUAAAAGCGGUCAUAAAGUUAAAAAUGCACAGUAGGUUUCAAAUGUGUAGUAAAUCAGAUAAUAGGCCAAUUUUAAUAGUUUAACCAUGCUAGAACCACGGAACUCGGGAAUGUCUAACACCUUCUCCCGGGUUAACAUAAUUCUUUAUCUAGAAUUUCUGGUUCGCAGACUUNNNNNNNNNNNNNNNNNNNNNNNNNCCGGUGACUUGGAACACCCAAUAAACUAUUCCAAGUGGCGACUCUGAAUAAAAAUGAAUAAAUAAUCACAUUUCGAAUAAUGUCACUUAAAGUGGAAAAACUCUCUUGUACUACCUUCGGGUGUGUAAAAAGGAGGUGUGACAGGGUCAAUAUCAGUAACACAUUAAAUAUUUUUUGUAAAAAAGUUGUACCUUUUAACUUUAAGAUAAUUAAUUUUUUUUAUAAAAAAUAAUUCAUAAUAUUAUUGUCAAUGAAAAAUGGGGCCCCCAAAUUUGGGGGUCUAAAGCCACUGCUUGGGCUGCUUUACCCUUCAGCCGGCGUUGAUGGUCUCCUUCACACGACAUGUGGAACCGUCGCGCCAGAGGUUAUAAAUAAAAGAGGAUAUGAUGGUGAAAAAGCUGAUAUUUGGCCACGUGGAGUCAUUUUAUUUGUUUUGUUAGCGGGCUAUCUUCCAUUUCAUGAUUUGAAUUUAAUGGAAAUAUAUAAGAAAAUUAGUAAAGGAGAAUUCAAAUGUCCUGAAUAUUUCCCUCCUGAGGUGAAAAAACUUCUUACAAGAAUUUUUGAUCCGAAUCCGUGUUCAAGAAUUACAUUAGCUAACUUGAUGGAGAAUCAUUGGUUCAAGAAAGGAUUCAAACAAAUUGAUAAAACACCAAUCCUAGAUCAAGUACAAGACAAUUCGCCUCGUAGUCAUUUUCGAUAUUGUGGAUGAUUCUGAUGCUGAGUGUUCUUCAGGGCAAAAAGAGCAGAGCUCAACAUGAAGCCUAUUUGUUUGAAUGCUUUUGAUAUCAUUACUCAUUCUCCUGGUUUUGAUCUCUAGCUUGUUUGAGAAAGAUGAGAGCUAUAGAUCUGAGGCUAGAUUCACGACACAAAAAGCCAGCGUCCACUAUUGUUUCGAGGCUAGCGGAAGUAGCUUCGAUGGGGAGCUUUAAGGUAAUUAUAUUGAAAUUAUAUCAUCAUCAUUUAAAAGUUUAAAUCUUUAAAGAAAACACGUUUUAUUUAUUUGAUUAUGUCUUCUAUACGUCCUCUUAUGCUCGUACAGGCCGGUCCAAGUCUUUUUCUAUUAGCCAAGCACGUGAUAUUCUUUUUUGUAAUAGAUGGUGGUGAGACUUAUUGGAUCCGACGCCUCAACUUGCUCUUGUACUAUGUUGAAUUUGUGUAAUUCGGAGUCGAAAAUUUCACUAAGGGUGUUUAAGGAUAAAUUUUAAAAAUUAUACUUAACCUAUACACACAGUAUAAUUUUUCGGCAAAAAGUGUUCCACUGACCACCCUUGAGUCUCUGUGGCAUAGCUUCUGUGACAAUCUUAUCUAAAACUUUAUCUGACCAACCUUAUCCUAUGUGGCUUUACCUGUAUGAUUUUCAUCUAAAAGCUUAAUUGGUUCAAUAGAGAAAACUGUAUUUACUUGUUUAUAUCUUCAACAGGUGAGCAGCCAAGCUAAUAGAUCUGCAGCCAAGCAAGAAAAACCAGAAUUAUUCUUGUCAUUCUUUAGAAGAGAUGACUAGCAUUCAGAACACCUGCAGAACAUGUAACAAGCAUCUGCAGAACAAGCUAUGUAACAAGCAUCUGCAGAACAAGCUAUGUAACAAGCAUCUAAGCUAUGUAACAAGAAUCUGCAGAACACCUGAACAGCCAAACAUUUACACACUGCCAAGCUGCAAUUGUAACUAACAUGCAGCAGCAACAUCAGGAACACUUGAACAGCCAAUUGCACUGUGCUAAUUAUAUUUACACACUGCCAAUGCUAAGAACACCUGAACAUCCAAACUAUAAACGCAAAUACACAACAUUCAACAAGCUUUAGGUCUUGCAACAGCUAAAAGAUGCUAACAGUAACACUAGGAGUUCUUUUAAAAGAUGCUAACAGUAACACAAUAUUGAGUCCAUUAGCUCGCAGAUUAACAUAUAGUCAUAUAUCAGUCUGAAUAAAGUUGAAGAUUCCAAGUCUAAAGAAGAUUUUAACAAAAUAAAAAGAGAAAACAAAAUCUUUUUGUAAUCAUCUUCAUUUAUCUUUAUGCUGUC
rnacentral:lncRNA from 1 species